UACGUAGGGUGCGAGCGUUAAUCGGAAUUACUGGGCGUAAAGCGUGCGCAGGCGGUUUUGUAAGCCAGAUGUGAAAUCCCCAGGCUUAACCUGGGAACUGCAUCCGAUACUGGAUGGCUUGAAUUCGGGAGAGGGAUGCAGAAUUCCAGGUGUAGCGGUGAAAUGCGUAGAUAUCUGGAGGAAUACCGGUGGCGAAGGCGGCAUCCUGGACCGACAUUGACGCUGAGGAGCGAAAGCUAGGGGAGCAAACGGG
rnacentral:rRNA from 1 species